AAUGAUAUGCCUGAUUAAAGGAUUAUUAUGAUAUAAUAAAUUAAGAAAACCCGUUUUCUAUCAUUA
rnacentral:tRNA from 1 species